rnacentral:rRNA from 1 species
GAUGAACGCUGGCGGCGUGCCUAAUACAUGCAAGUCGAGCGAACAGACGAGGAGCUUGCUCCUCUGACGUUAGCGGCGGACGGGUGAGUAACACGUGGAUAACCUACCUAUAAUACUGGGAGAACUUCGGGAAACCGGAGCUAAUACCGGAUAAUAUAUUGAACCGCAUGGUUCAAUAGUGAAAGACGGUUUUGCUGUCACUUAUAGAUGGAUCCGCGCCGCAUUAGCUAGUUGGUAAGGUAACGGCUUACCAAGGCAACGAUGCGUAGCCGACCUGAGAGGGUGAUCAGCCACACUGGAACUGAGACACGGUCCAGACUCCUACGGGAGGCAGCAGUAGGGAAUCUUCCGCAAUGGGCGCAAGCCUGACGGAGCAACGCCGCGUGAGUGAUGAAGGUCUUCGGAUCGUAAAACUCUGUUAUUAGGGAAGAACAAAUGUGUAAGUAACUAUGCACGUCUUGACGGUACCUAAUCAGAAAGCCACGGCUAACUACGUG